UGGUGGGUUUCUGCUCAGGGGUGGCGGGUUUCUGCUCAGGGGUGGCGGGUUUGUGUUCAGGGGUGGCGGGUUUCUCUCUAGGGGUGGCGGGUUUCUGCUCAGGGGUGGCGGGUUUCUCUCUAGGGGUGGUGAGCUUUCCCCUGGCUUUUCUCUGGUUCUGAUCUGCACCACAUGGCCGAGCUGCUCUGGGUUUGCCUCCGCUCCUAAUCCUGCAUGUCCUGCAUGAUUACUAAACCUGCUGGGCCUGCCCUCAGCCAGCGCCUGUACCGUAUGGAGGAGUAAACAGAGAACGAUGAGCCCCAAAAUCACCCACACGCCCCCCUCCCACCCCAAGAAGACCCCCCCCUCCCCAGAAGACCCUGCCCAGAAGCGCCGCUUUUGUUGAUUGUCUGGUGACUGUACCAUUGUUUGAAAAAAAGAAAAAAAAAAAAAAAAAGAAAUUAAAUGUUUUGUUUUUUGUUGUUUUUUUUCCUUCCUCCUCUGGUUUUUUGUGGCCUGGGAAUGAAAGGCCCACUUACACCUGAGCCAGUAAAUCUGACGUAACACCCCCCAGUGUGCCUUACUGCAUUCACCCCUCCCGCCCCAUUCUCGCCCGCCAUCGCACCCGCUGCCAAGCACCCGUCUCCUGGCCCGGGCACCGCGCCCCCCCCCCCCCCCACUCCCCCCUCUGAACACGCUACAGAGCGCUUGGGCCUUGAACUACCCCGAAAAUCCAAGAUGGCCCCAGCGUAAGGGUGAGAACCUUGUGAAUGACGAGGGCUGGCUCACUGAGAGAGCUCGACACCGUCACCAUGCCCCGACAGGUGAGACAGGUAAAAAGGGAAAACACCGGCUCUCUUCCCUUUCUCGGACGUCCAUCGCAGCAGAAACAACAUGGCAAAGUGACUCGUGUGUGUGACACAUUGUAGAGGUUUUUUUUUUUUUUUUUUUUUUUUCUGUUGAAUGAAUUGUUCUAAGACAUUUUGUUGGCUUUUGUAAACACUUAAUUAAAAGCCAAGGUUGUGUAAG